AUACAUUUAAAUGACAUUUAACAGAAAUCAUUUUUGACCUUACUAGAACCUGGAUGGUGCUUUAUAAAAGCUGGUAAUGUGGAAGGCUACAAUUAUGAAGUUACAAGCGAGAGGUUUAUCCUGUGAGAAUCUCGCUUCAGUAUUUUAGUGUCAUUUAUAUACAUCCUACUGGAACCCAACAUAGCCGAGUCACUGCCAUGCUCUGGUCCAGUAAUUAACCUGCUGAGUGCAAACAGGUGUCUUGGAGGAAGAAACUCUGGAUCAAGUCUGGACCUUCAGGACUGCAACUGAUAACGUCGGUGUCAGCUGAUCGCCUGCUGCAGUGUGCAUAUGACUUAUUUAAAUUAACUACCACAAAAGCGCCUUUUUUGUCUUGUGGAUACAACACACUUCCACAAAGCAUUUGCUCCACCGAAAUCCUCUCCAAAGGAUUAAAGGCCAGUUUAAUGAAUUUUCACUAAGGGGACGGAGCAGUGGUGCUCAUCCUACCACCCACAAACAACAGAAAAUGUCUCCUUACCUGACUGGCACUAUUCUGAAAGGAUGGCACCAUAGAAAACAGAAUCAGCAUAACAAGGGAAGGCAAACUAAACACACCCAACAGGCAGCCAAUCAGGGAGGUGCUUUAUGAACUGUCCAGUUGCUAGUGCUUUUCUUUGUUCUUCCCUUUAUAUUACUUAUUUCUGACUUGUUGCUGUUCAUGUUCAGCUACAUGUGUAUAUACCUUAAAAUGAAUAAACCUGGUGCAUGUAGUUGAUCCCCAGGGAGUGCAUCAUUUGAAAUGAGUUUUCCUCUUGCUAGGCUUAGCCCUGGGGAAAUAGUUGAGAGGGUUGGUAUGGACAAGUUAUUUUGAGCUCUCUGGAGAGCAUAAGGCUGUUAUCCUACAACCCAAAUAUAUGGUGGCAUUUCUGGUGUGCACCCUGGCCUCCCUUGAGAUCAGCAGGGGAGAGUGACAAGAAACUGCCCAUCUCAGCCCCAUGUUUUACUGUCUGGACCUGAAUUUUGCUGACCAACCAAUGCCCACUAAACCCAUGUCAAUGGCACCACACAAGAAUGGGCACUCCUGCUGUGGCUUCUGGUUCCUCUUUGGCUGGGGAAUGACUGGCCAGAGUUUUCUGCUGCUGCCAGCAAUGCAACAACCAAGCCCUGUUUGAAAAGCAAAGGAUUUGAGCAACAAGACAUCGAGAGGAACUCUGAGAUGUCUUCU